AACGAACGCUGGCGGCAGGCCUAACACAUGCAAGUCGAACGCCCCGCAAGGGGAGUGGCAGACGGGUGAGUAACGCGUGGGAACCUUCCCUGUGGUACGGAAUAACUGACCGAAAGGUUGGCUAAUACCGUAUACGUCCGAGAGGAGAAAGAUUUAUCGCCAUAGGAUGGGCCCGCGUCGGAUUAGCUAGUUGGUGAGGUAAUGGCUCUCCAAGGCGACGAUCCGUAGCUGGUCUGAGAGGAUGAUCAGCCACACUGGGACUGAGACACGGCCCAGACUCCUACGGGAGGCAGCAGUGGGGAAUAUUGGACAAUGGGCGCAAGCCUGAUCCAGCCAUGCCGCGUGAGUGAUGAAGGUCUUCGGAUUGUAAAACUCUUUCGCCGGGGAAGAUAAUGACGGUACCCGGAGAAGAAGCUCCGGCUAACUUCGUGCCAGCCGCCGCGGUAA
rnacentral:rRNA from 1 species